UCNUGGGAUAACACUGACGUUCAUGCCNGAAAGCGUGGGUAGCAAACAGGAUUAGAUACCCUGGUAGUCCACGCCCUAAACGAUGUCGAUUAGCUGUUGGGCAGCAUGACUGCUUAGUAGCGAAGCUAACGCGUGAAAUCGACCGCCUGGGGAGUACGGUCGCAAGAUUAAAACUCAAAGGAAUUGACGGGGACCCGCACAAGCGGUGGAUGAUGUGGAUUAAUUCGAUGCAACGCGAAGAACCUUACCUGGUCUUGACAUGUACGGAACCCUCCAGAGACGGAGGGGUGCCUUCGUGAGCCGUAACACAGGUGCUGCAUGGCUGUCGUCAGCUCGUGUCGUGAGAUGUUGGGUNAANNNNNNGCAACGAGCGCAACCCUUGUCAUUAGUUGCCAUCAUUAAGUUGGGCACUCUAAUGAGACUGCCGGUGACAAGCCGGAGGAAGGUGGGGAUGACGUCAAGUCCUCAUGGCCCUUAUGACCAGGGCUUCACACGUCAUACAAUGGUCGGUACAGAGGGUAGCCAAGCCGCGAGGUGGAGCCAAUCUCACAAAACCGAUCGUAGUCCGGAUUGCACUCUGCAACUCGAGUGCAUGAAGUCGGAAUCGCUAGUAAUCGCAGGUCAGCAUACUGCGGUGAAUACGUUCCCGGGUCU
rnacentral:rRNA from 1 species